rnacentral:rRNA from 1 species
UACGUAGGAGGCGAGCGUUGUCCGGAGUUACUGGGCGUAAAGGGUGCGCAGGCGGCGGUUCGCGUGGAUAGGUGAAAUCUCCUGGCUUACCUGGGAGGAUGGUAUCCAGACGGGAUCGCUUGAGGGUCGGAGAGGGGCGUGGAAUUCCGGGUGGAGCGGUGAAAUGCGUAGAGAUCCGGAGGAACACCGACGGCGUAGGCAGCGCCCUGGACGACACCUGACGCUGAGGCACGAAAGCUGGGGGAGCGAAUGGG